ACAGCUUAAAAGUUGCUUCUCUGGCCCUACGUGUGAUGCUAGCGACUAGCGAGGUAACUGACUUCGCGUUUACCAUCUCAGCUAUGACUACAUGUCCUCUCUUAAACCCAUGCAAGUCAUUCUAACAUAUUUUACCAAGUGCAGAAUCUUUAUCUAUCGUAAUUCGGUGUCGUGAAUAAAGUGCAUGUCUUGUUCAUCCAGCCGAUUCUAAAGGUUGCUCUUCCAAAACCGCUCUCCCAAAAACUAUUUUAACUUUUUGCACUCCUACAAUUACAUGACUCGUUUCUAUUUCUGAUGCUCUUUCAAAUAGGGUCAUUAGAUGUUUUCAGUCCGUCUAACGUGACAUGGUGCCUUUAAUAAGUUGUCCAACUUAUAAACGCGACACAGGGUAGAGGGGAGGACCACCCUUGCCCCUGAGAAACUACACCCACCCAUGUGCAUGCACACGACGGUGCGUAUCAAAAUUCAUUGCGUUUCCGAGGAUUUUUGAUCUCCAAUUUAAAAUACAGUGAAUAAUCUGGACCAUACUUAGUUGAAAAUGAUCUACCAUGAAGGAUUUAUCGUUAGGAAAAUAACUUUUCCGAGGAGAAAGUCUGAACAGAUAGAGCAAAAGUCAGGAAAAUCUACUUUUGACGAACCGUCCUCACGUUAACAUACCAUAGAGGAAAAGAUGCACAAAGUUGAGGCUCAACUUCGACAUCAAAAGAAGUUGGACACCAUACGCUACGCCUGAUUCAUCUGAAUCAAACUCUAUUUGCAAGUAUCUCGUUCUCGGACGUAAUAAAAACCGCUUUAUGAUGGGAACUGAACUUCCGUAAGUUUCUAAUUUUCCUAUUUUUUCCUUGCCGAUUUCAAUGGUUCUUCUAAAAAUCUUAUGGCGUGAGAAUUUAAAAAAAAUUCUAAUCACAACUUUGGACAUGAGACCCUGACUCGUCAAUGGAUCACUUGACAGAGUUAAGGUAACGUACAAUACCAUGGAAAUUUUGAAAACUCCCAAAUUGUAUUCGUCACAGUGAUAAAUUAGCGUUUACGUUCUCAGGGAUUCAAAUAUCCUGCUUAUCGAGAAACCAUUGUCUAGUUGAUCAAAUCGAUCCCUACAUUCAUAUUUCCAUUCUUGGCAGUUGCUAGUGAAAUACUUUAUCUUGUAUCAAAAAAAGAAAGGAAAUUUAUGUGAAACGGAAGUCUAGUUACUUGCCAAACACUCUUUAGUUUUUCGUGGCUCUUUGACCUAUGAUGACUUUCGUUUUAUCAUGAGCGGAAACUAAUUCUAUUGAUAAUUGUAAACGCC
rnacentral:lncRNA from 1 species